GACGUAGGGUGCGAGCGUUGUCCGGAUUUAUUGGGCGUAAAGAGCUCGUAGGCGGCUCGUCGCGUCGACCGUGAAAACCCGCGGCUUAACUGCGGGCUUGCGGUUGAUACGGCCGGGCUAGAGUUCGGUAGGGGAGACUGGAAUUCCUGGUGUAGCGGUGAAAUGCGCAGAUAUCAGGAGGAACACCGGUGGCGAAGGCGGGUCUCUGGGCCGAUACUGACGCUGAGGAGCGAAAGCGUGGGGAGCGAACAGG
rnacentral:rRNA from 1 species